CAUAGAAUCACUGUUAAUUUUCUACCAAUAUUUUUUUUCAUAUGUGGUGUAUUUUUAAAUAAUCAUACAGUUGAUCACAAUGAUUUUCUCACCGACUAUUGUGAACCUUUUCUCGAAGCUGUUAGAUAGUCUUCAAAAACGUGGUUAAUGGCUGCGUAAUAGCUCAUGUCAUAGAUUUAUCCAUGACACUGUCAGACAAGUUGUGUCCAUUUUUCACCAUUAUAAGUGACAAUCAGGGAAGAUGCUUGUACGGUUCUGAUUUUUCCUUAGGCUAGAUCUCUAAGAGCACAAUCAGAGUCAAAAGUAAAAAAAAUUUUUGGUGAUUUUAUUGCAUAUUGCCCAAUUGACCUGCAGAAAACUUCAUGGUAGUCCCUGUAAUGUAGUAGACACCUUCCUCAUCGUAUUUGAAAAAUCUUUUCACUCCUUUUUUUACUCCGAAGGACUUCUCCAAACUGGCCUCUACAACAGUUGUCUGCAUACGAUACCUUUAUAUUUGUAAAUCUUCCAGGGUGGAAUAAAGUGGCCGUUGACAGCCCAGAGCCGUGGGAACUCAGUGCUGCCGGCCUUAGGCCUUAGAAGACACCAGGUGCUGGGGACAAACUAGAGUGACAUCCGGUCAGCGCCGGAGGGCAGCGUCUGAAGGGUCCCCUGGGGAGGAGCGGGCCCUCCCUCUUUCCCACAGCUGACUGGAAGGAAGGGGUGUCUGACCUCGUCCCGUGUUUGUUCUGUGAGAACAGAAAGUGCCCGGAGGGAGAGAAAGAACACGGACUUGGGACCAGGACGUGGGGCCGCACGGCACUGGGCUGGCUGCUACUCGUGUCCUGUAGGACAGCUGGACUUCAGGACUCGUGCUCUAAGCGGCUGGAGGCCGGUCCUAGCUUCUUUGUCUAAACGUUCCCUAGUGAAAGCUUGCAGUGUUUGGCUGGGGAAGCCCAUGGCACUCCCCUCCUCUGCUGUCGUAGGAGCCCCCCUGGCUUUUUUGGCCUUUAACAAUCCUAGCAACCACGUUCUUGCCACCAUGAACUUUUUAAUUCCCUUUCACAAUAAGCCUUGCUUCCUUCAGAGGUAGCCUGGGAGACUGCUGAGUCACUGUCGCCCUUUUUAGCUGAACAUUUUCCUGUUUACAACAAAGCAAUAGAUGCUGACUGUAGAAUGCUAGAAAAAUAUGCGAACGACUAAAAAUCAUCUAUACCUUUGGGCUGUAGAAAUAACCACUCUUUAACAACGCAUUCCCUUCCAUAUGCUGUUUUACACAGUUGGGCUCGCAUAACUGUGGAUCCCGCUUUGUAAACACCGUGAUAGCGAACUAGGCGGCCCUGUGAUUUGGGACAGACGGAGCCAAGUCCAGGGGCUACUUCACACGCUUCCUGCCAGGUAGCCCUGCGGGACGCACCGAGACCUACUUGAAUGUUGUUACACCCAAGAAGAGGAGGACUUCGAGAAUAAUCGACAGUCACGAACACCUAGACCUUAACUUUUUCAAGAGGUCUUUAGAGAGUUGGCUGGAAACAGGGGGCUGAGGACGCUGAGGUGGUGUGAGCCCGGGGUGCCAAGCUCUGAGGAAGCUCAGUUGCUAAUGAGAACACACUGCCCGUGUAUUCCAAGAUUAAAUUUGCAGGGAGGUAAACAACGUGGCGGUUCAGCAGCUCGCGUCCUGUCCCCACACUAGAGCCCGCGAGCCGAGGGACGGCAAGAGCCAGAUUAUCGAAAGAAAGCAAGCUAUGUGGAUGAAGAAGGGUUUGAUGGGCUAGGUCCUAACUGUUUGGCCUUUCACCAUCUCUCAGGAUAGCUCCCGAAGUGCACUUAGAACCUCCAGCAUAAGGCUGAAUUGAAGAGAUAACUACAGGGAAUCCUGGAGUCCACAUCUUUGAGGGGUAUGAAAACAAAGAAUUUUCAGUCCUUUUUGAGGGGAUCUGCACUUCACUCCUUCUGUGCCUAAGCAGAUAAAAGAAUUAACGUGGAAGUGAAAGUGGAGGCUGAACUGAGAUGGUUGGGGCUAUGCUUCUUGGUGCUUCUGAAGCCUGUCAGCAACUUCGAGUGACGGGAGGUAUCCUUGAGGGCCUCAGCCCUGAAACAGGGUCCUUGUACUUGCACUAGGGGCCCCGGUAACAAAGUGGGAUCAGGACACAGACACCCUCUAUAAUAGUACUUGUUGUAAAUAUUUGAAUAAUCCUAAAGAGUUUACAACGAGUUUUUACAUCUAUACCUGAUUCAUCAACAACUUUUUUUUCUUUUUAUAUCUGAGCUAACACUGAAUACAUUUAGAGCUUUCAAUGCUCCAUAUUUUAUUCUGGGCACUUUAUUAAUAAUAUUCUCAUUUAAUCCUCCUGCUUAUGAGUUUAGUAUUAUUACCAUUUUAUAGAUGAGAAAAUUGAGGUUUAGAUUUGUUUUUAAAUUGCUCAAGGUCACACAGUUAGUAAAUGAUAUAGCAGGAUUCCAAUCUGAUAUUUUAACUCCACUCCACACUCUUAGCCAAAAAGGUUAAGGGGCUUUGGACUUGGAAUGGGGUUCUGUGACUCUAAAUCUUUUUGCUCCAGCACAUGCCAAUUUCUGAUUGUUAUCACCUGAAUCUAUUAAAGAAUUCACCCAUUCAACAAAUAUUUAAAUAUUAUGUGCAUUUACUGAUCUGGAUUCUUUAGAAAAUUUAAAGCUAUUCAAUUUUUUUUCUGGGGGGAAAUAACACUAUA